GUGCUCACUUGGGCAGCACAUAUACUAAAAUUGGAAUGAUACAGAGAAGAUUAGCAUGGCCCCUGCACAAGGAUGAUGUGCAAAUUUGUGAAGCGUUCCACAUUUUU